rnacentral:rRNA from 1 species
AAGUGUUAAUUAGAUUUACCAGGGUAUUAUUAGUUAAGGUCUUUAAACCCAAAGAAUUUGGCGGUAUCUCAUUCCAUUCAGAGGAACCUAUCCCGUGAUUGAUAGUACACGAUUAACUUUACUUAAUUUAUUUGUUUGUAUAUCUCCGUUAUCAGAAAAUCUUUUUAGAGUUAUAAUUUUCUUAAUUUAUAAUUAUAAAGUAUUUCAGGUCAAGGUGCAGCUUAUANUUAAGAGGAGAUGGGUUACAAUAGGUUUUUNUUUAUAACGGAUUUGAUGAUGAAAUAUUAUUAAUGAAGGUGGAUUUGAUAGUAAUUUNACAUAUUUAAUUUAAUUGAUAUGGCUCUGAGGU